rnacentral:tRNA from 5 species
UGCAAUAAAGAGCAAUUAGGUCGUUCGUCAGGUUCAUCUUCUGAAGGUUAAAGGUUCAAGUCCUUUUGUUGCAA